rnacentral:rRNA from 1 species
AUACAGAGGGUGCAAGCGUUAUUCGGAAUUACUGGGCGUAAAGCGCGCGUAGGCGGCUGAUUAAGUCAGUUGUGAAAGCCCUGGGCUCAACCUAGGAACUGCAUCUGAUACUGGUCAUCUAGAGUUUAAGAGAGGGAAGUGGAAUUCCAGGUGUAGCAGUGAAAUGCGUAGAUAUCUGGAGGAACAUCAGUGGCGAAGGCGACUUCCUGGCUUAGAACUGACGCUCAGGUGCGAAAGCGUGGGUAGCGAACGGGAUUAGAAACCCUAGUAGUCC